GAAAGGAAAGGAUUAGGGAGUCGUGAUGGCGCAAAACUCAAACAUUGCGCGUGUCGAUCAAGACAUGGAACUUCCAAAAUGGUGUCAAGCGUCGACGGAAGCUUCACUUCAAAGGUUUACACGAGGACAUGGUUCAAUGGUUAAUCUCCUUAACCUUCUGUCGGACCAUGCAAGCAUGGAGAAAAAGGUCAGCCAACUCUACGAAGAGUUUGAAACAAAGUGGAAGAAGAGAGCCCUUAUUGAAAUUGGUGGCACCAUAGCUGACGACGAGGUGAAUGUUGUAUUGAGAAUCUGGAUGGCCACUUACAAGGAAAAGCAAGAUCAGCAUAUCCAAUUAUUAAGCUCACUGACUGCCACAGAUGGCCCCAUUCGAAGCCUUCAGAAUUACAUCAACUCAGAAGAGGCCAAGGCUACAAGGGAGGCCACUCUAUCACUCUUUGAAAGGGCAAAGCAAAAGCAGGCUAUGCUGGAGAAGGACAUCAAACAGCUGAAGGGGAACUUCUUCCUGGCUAAGGACAAAGAGGUUGACUUCAAGCUGGAGCUGGACGCUGCACAGGACGACCAUGCCCGAUAUGGUGCUCUGGUGACUCGGUGGAAGCAGCUGCAGGCUGAUGGUGAAAGGGCCAGCACAUCCUACAGACAAAAACUGCAAGAGGAAAAAUCUACACGAACGACUUUCAUAGAAGAAAUGAAAAGAUUCCAGGAUGAAUCUAAUGCUCAUGAGAGAGCCCGCCUUCAGCAGCUGCAGCAUGUGAUGACUUCAGUCAUACAAAUCAGUAAAGCAGUAGAAAUCCACAGGGGAGAGAGACUGGGUCCAUUAUUUGAAGAUGGAAUCUCCCGCCUUGAGAAAUAUGACUUUGAGAGAGAAAUUGCCCUCUUCAAUCAGCUCAAUGUGUAUCAGCAUGAGUUCCCUGUGGAACAGCUGCACCCAUCUGAAGUGUUGGCCAAGAAGGAAACAGAGGAGAAAUCUCAUUUAGACUUUCCGCCAUCUCCAACAGCUCAAGCUGGCCCAUCUAUAGAGUUGGCCAAGAAGAAAACAGAGAAGAAAUCUCACUUAGACGUGGCGCCAUCUUUGGCAGCUAAAGCUGUCCCAUCUGUACAGUUUGCCAAGAAGGAAACAGAGGAGAAAUCUCACUUCGAUGCGGCGCCAUCUCCGGCAGCUGAAGCUGUCCCAUCUGUACAGUUUGCCAAGAAGAAAUCUUACUUAGAUGCGGCGCCAUCUCCGGCAGCUAAAGCUAACCAAUCUGUAAAGUUGGCCAAGAAGAAAACAGAGGAGAAAUCCCACAUAGAUACGGCGCCAUCUCCGGCAACUAAAGCUGUCCCAUCUGUAAAGUUGGCCGAUAAGAAAUCUCACUUAGAUGCGGCGCCAUCUCCGGCAACUAAAGCUGUCCCACCUGUAGAGUUGGCCAAGAAGAAAUCUCACUUAGAUGCGGCGCCAUCUCCGGCAACUAAAGCUGGCCCAUCUGUAAAGUUGUCCAAGAAGGAAACAGAGAAGAAAUCUCACUUAGAUGUGGCGCCAUCUCUGGCAGCUGAAGCUGGCCCAUCUGUAGAGUUGAAUGACAUUCAAGUACUGCCAGUCACAAAAGAGACAGCUGUGCCUGUACGACCCAUACUAAAGUCAGCGGGGCCAAGGACAAGACAACGAUCCCGUCAUGUGAGGUAUGCAGUCCCGAGACCAUCAGACUUCCGCACCAUCCCUGCAAGGCCGGGGCCCUACAACCCUGUGCGAAGGAGAAGCCACACAGUCAAGCCCAUUGUGGAGAAUACUGGCAGCAUCGCAUAUUUUGAUGAUCUCCUGAAACCAGUAGUGACCACAGCUAUUGGUAUCACACACAUUGCACAAGGCCAUACAGUCAAAGUGUACGCAGUCAAGGACAUCUUUGGUGUCUCAGUGAAUGACAUCACAUGCAAAGCAGGAUGUAAGAUUUACAUGACGCGACCUGCUUCCUCUGGCUCUGCCUUUGGAUACAUCAAGAAGGGCUGGCUGUUCAAGAGGAAGAUAUAUGGCUACUUCGAUGAACAGCUCGUCACCAUCCUCAAGAAGCCAGGCACUGAUAAAACCUCCAACUUAAUGUGUUAGAUACCAUGACCUGUCCACCCUCCCUACCGGACUUGGCUAUCAACUUAAUAAGGACUUCUGAGCUAUUUGUGAUACACUUUGAUAUUUGUUUUUUGUCACAUGGAUGUAGUGUUAACUGUUUUUGAGAAUUUUUUGCUUGAUCUGUGAUGUGAAUUUGAUAUUUUUGGGGAUGUAUUUUGUGGUAUGGAGUCAUAGAUGAUUUAUUGAAGUGUAUGGUUACCAUGUUACAAAUCCUUUUAUAAGGAUGCUUUUUACAAUGAGAUGAGAUGAAUCUGUUGUGUGAGGGAUGUUCACAUGGAAAUGUGAAAUGUGUGGGAUUUAUCUAUUGUUAAAUGUUUGAAUUAUGCAAAAUACCUGGAUGUAUGUGGGGGUCAACACAAGUGGGUCUGUUACCCUGCAAGGAAAUAGAUCAUUUGUAUAGAGAAAUGAGGGAAGCUCAGACCAAUCAGUGCUAAGAUUACAAUGCCCAAAACUGCAAUAUUUCUCACUUGAUAAUGUGUGUGAAACAUGUGCCCUAGGCUUGUGGUAGGUGCUCCACUCAUUGAUUCAAUGCCAGGCAACAUCAGUGCUCCCUAAAAGUUCUCCACUAAACCAUCGGCCCAAUGUAAUCGGGGAGGUAGAUACAGCACACAGGUCUCCACUAAACCAUUGGCCUAGUGUAAUCGGGGAGGUACAUAUAGCACACAGGUCUCCACUAAAUCAUCGGCCCAAUGUAAUCGGGGAGGUACAUAUAGCACACAGGUCUCCACUAAAUCAUCGGCCCAAUGUAAUCGGGGAGGUAGAUACAGCACACAGGUCUCCACUAAAUCAUCGGCCCAAUGUAAUCGGGGAGGUACAUAUAGCACACAGGUCUCCACUAAACAUCGGCCCUGUGUAAUCGGGGAAUCUUACUGCUAACAAUACUCAAAAUCGAUACUAAAAAUACUAAUAUCCUCUACUAACAAUAAUACUAAUACUAAUAUCCUACUACUUACAAUACUACCACUGAUAUCCUGCUACUAACAAUACUACUACUGAUAUCAUGCUACUAACAAUACUACUACUGAUAUCCUGCUACUAACAAUACUACUACUGAUAUCCUGCUACUAACAAUACUACCACUGAUAUCCUGCUACUAACAAUACUACUACUGAUAUCAUGCUACUAACAAUACUACUACUGAUAUCCUGCUACUAACAAUACUACUACUGAUAUCCUGCUACUAACAAUACUACUACUGAUAUCCUGCUACUAACAAUACUACUACUGAUAUCCUGCUACUAACAAUACUACUAAAACAUAUCGGGUCACUGUAUUCACAGGUGAUGGAGGGUCGUAGAGAACACAUCUCUCCACAACACACAUAUCGGGUCACUGUAUUCACAGGUGAUGGAGGGUCGUAGAGAACACAUCUCUCCACAACACACAUAUCGGGUCACUGUAUUCACAGGUGAUGGAGGGUCGUAGAGAACACAUCUCUCCACAACACACAUAUCGGGUCACUGUAUUCACAGGUGAUGGAGGGUCGUAGAGAACACAUCUCUCCACGACACACAUAUCGGGUCACUGUAUUCACAGGUGAUGGAGGGUCGUAGAGAACACAUCUCUCCACAACACACAUAUCGGGUCACUGUAUUCACAGGUGAUGGAGGGUCGUAGAGAACACAUCUCUCCACAACACACAUAUCGGGUCACUGUAUUCACAGGUGAUGGAGGGUCGUAGAGAACACAUCUCUCCACAACACACACAUUGGGUCACUGUAUUCACAGGUGAUGGAGGGUUGUAGAGAACACAUCUCUCCACAACACACAUAUCGGGUCACUGUAUUCACAGGUGAUGGAGGGUCGUAGAGAACACAUCUCUCCACAACACACAUAUCGGGUCACUGUAUUCACAGGUGAUGGAGGGUCGUAGAGAACACAUCUCUCCACUACACACAUAUCGGGUCACUGUAUUCACAGGUGAUGGAGGGUCGUAGAGAACACAUCUCUACACAACACAUAUCGGGUCACUGUAUUCACAGGUGAUGGAGGGUUGUAGAGAACACAUCUCUCCACAACACACAUAUCGGGUCACUGUAUUCACAGGUGAUGGAGGGUCGUAGAGAACACAUCUCUCCACAACACACACAUCGGGUCACUGUAUUCACAGGUGAUGGAGGGUCGUAGAGAACACAUCUCUCCACUACACACAUAUCGGGUCACUGUAUUCACAGGUGAUGGAGGGUCGUAGAGAACACAUCUCUCCACAACACACAUAUCGGGUCACUGUAUUCACAGGUGAUGGAGGGUCGUAGAGAACACAUCUCUCCACAACACACAUAUCGGGUCACUGUAUUCACAGGUGAUGGAGGGUCGUAGAGAACACAUCUCUCCACAACACACAUAUCGGGUCACUGUAUUCACAGGUGAUGGAGGGUCGUAGAGAACACAUCUCUCCACAACACACAUAUUGGGUCACUGUAUUCACAGGUGAUGGAGGGUCGUAGAGAACACAUCUCUCCCCAACACACAUAUUGGGUCACUGUAUUCACAGGUGAUGGAGGGUCAUAGAGAACACAUCUCUGCACAACACACAUAUCGGGUCACUGUAUUCACAGGUGAUGGAGGGUCGUAGAGAACACAUCUCACCACAACACACAUAUCGGGUCACUGUAUUCACAGGUGAUGGAGGGUCGUAGAGAACACAUCUCUCCACAACACACAUAUCGGGUCACUGUAUUCACAGGUGAUGGAGGGUCGUAGAGAACACAUCUCUCCACAACACACAUAUUGGGUCACUGUAUUCACAGGUGAUGGAGGGUCGUAGAGAACACAUCUCUCCACAACACACAUAUCGGGUCACUGUAUUCACAGGUGAUGGAGGGUUCGUAGAGAACAUAUCUCUCCACAACACACACAUCGGGUCACUGUAUUCACAGGUGAUGGAGGGUUGUAGAGAACACAUCUCUCCACAACACACACAUAUUGGGUCACUGUAUUCACAGGUGAUGGAGGGUCGUAGAGAACACAUCUCUCCACAACACACAUAUCGGGUCACUGUAUUCACAGGUGAUGGAUGGUCGUAGAGAACACAUCUCUCCACAACACACAUAUCGGGUCACUGUAUUCACAGGUGAUGGAGGGUCGUAGAGAACACAUCUCUCCACAACACACAAAUCGGGUCACUGUAUUCACAGGUGAUGGAGGGUCGUAGAGAACACAUCUCUCCACAACACACAUAUCGGGUCACUGUAUUCACAGGUGAUGGAGGGUCGUAGAGAACACAUCUCUCCACAACACACAUAUGGGGUCACUGUAUUCACAGGUGAUGGAGGGUCGUAGAGAACACAUCUCUCCACAACACACAUAUCGGGUCACUGUAUUCACAGGUGAUGGAGGGUUCGUAGAGAACACAUCUCUCCACAACACACACAUCGGGUCACUGUAUUCACAGGUGAUGGAGGGUUGUAGAGAACACAUCUCUUCACAACACACACAUAUUGGGUCACUGUAUUCACAGGUGAUGGAGGGUCGUAGAGAACACAUCUCUCCACAACACACAUAUCGGGUCACUGUAUUCACAGGUGAUGAAGGGUCGUAGAGAACACAUCUCUCCACAACACACAUAUCGGGUCACUGUAUUCACAGGUGAUGGAGGGUUCGUAGAGAACACAUCUCUCCACAACACACACAUCGGGUCACUGUAUUCACAGGUGAUGGAGGGUUGUAGAGAACACAUCUCUCCACAACACACACAUAUUGGGUCACUGUAUUCACAGGUGAUGGAGGGUCGUAGAGAACACAUCUCUCCACAACACACAUAUCGGGUCACUGUAUUCACAGGUGAUGGAGGGUCGUAGAGAACACAUCUCUCCACAACACAGACAUAUUGGGUCACUGUAUUCACAGAUGAUGGAGGGUCGUAGAGAACACAUCUCUCCACAACACACAUAUCGGGUGACUGUAUUCACAGGUGAUGGAGGGUCGUAGAGAACACAUCUCUCCACAACACACAUAUCGGGUCACUGUAUUCACAGGUGAUGGAGGGUCGUAGAGAACACAUCUCUCCACAACACACAUAUCGGGUCACUGUAUUCACAGGUGAUGGAGGGUCGUAGAGAACACAUCUCUCCACAACACACAUAUUGGGUCACUGUAUUCACAGGUGAUGGAGGGUCGUAGAGGACACAUCUCUCCACAACACACAUAUCUGGUCACUGUUUUCACAGGUGAUGGAGGGUCUUAGAGAACACAUCUCUCCACAACACACAUAUCUGGUCACUGUUUUCACAGGUGAUGGAGGGUCGUAGAGAACACAUCUCUCCACAACACACAUAUCGGGUCACUGUAUUCACAGGCGAUGGAGGGUUCGUAGAGAACAUAUCUCUCCACAACACACAUAUCGGGUCACUGUAUUUACAGAUGAUGGAGGGUCGUAGAGAACACAUCUCUCUCCAACACAUAUUGGGCCACUGUAUUCACAGGUGAUGGAGGGUGGUGUUACAGAUUCUUUACAUCCAGGGAUGGAUGAAUAUAUUCCUGAGUGCUAGAGGAAUGCUGAGUACCCAUUGACAUGAAGUAUUGAUGAUGCCUGGUUAACAGACUAAUAGUCAAGUAGCUCAGUAGUCAACAGUCUUUGCGUAUGGAAUAAUUUACAUCUAGACAUGGAUCGAUGAUUUCUUCCAACAAAAGGGGGCACGGGUGGCCCAGUCGUCUGAGUCGCCGCCAUUCGCUGUGCAGAGUUGCGUCCCUUGGGCACGCCAGAAACCUAUGAUUGUGCGUUCGAAUCCCGGUUUGCCC
rnacentral:misc_RNA from 1 species